GCCCGUAUGGUCUAGUGGUAUGACGUUCGCCUCACAUACCUGCGGGUUUGGAACGCGACAGGUCCCAGGUUCGAUCCCUGGUGUGGGCA